UCUGUUAGCUUAGAUAGUUUAGAAGUUUCAUCUGGUCUUGUUGAGAUAUAUACACUCUAAAAACAGAUGGUUCUUUAAAGGUUCUUUACAUGUAGUAACGGUUAUAUUUAGAACCAUAGCAUCCUGAAGAACCCUUUUAUGCUGAAAUGGUUCUUUGUGUUAGAGUUUAGGGUUCUUUAUUCCCGUCCUUUUGUUUUUCAAAUCUGUAACUGUCAAAGCACCUCAUUACUGAUUUUCUGGAGUUCAGUGAUACAACUACACAGACUGUCAACAGUUUUUUGGUCACAUGUAAGUGUGAGCAGCUCUUUUAAGCUGAGGAUACUUCUCUCCUCUUCUCCACUAAAUGCAUCACAUCCCACAACCUCAUCAUCUGCAGAUAAACUGUCACUCAGUCACACCAUAAUUAUGGACUUAAAGGCAUAUGAAGAUAUUUCACUGGAACUUGGUCUCCAUCACAUCCAUUUUUUGUUUUUAUUUUGUUUUACUUUGUUUAUAUAUUCAUGUUAAUAAUUUCUUUCUUAAAAUGUCUAUAAUUUAACUUUCAAAUUGUAACUGGUUUCCUACCAAUGUCUUUUUGUCUCUUUUUAGUUCAACAGAAUACGUAAGUGUGACCAGCCCUGUUCAGUUAAAGAUACUUAUCUCCUCUUCACCACCAAGUAACAAAGAUAGAAUUGAUUUGUGCAUUUCAGAUGCUGUCACAUCCUACAACCUCGUCAUCUGCAGAGAGAAACUGACACUCAAUCACACCAAAAUAUACAUAAUGAUGGACUUUCAGGCAUCAUAGAGGAUUAUGAAAAUACAGUAUUUCACUGG